CAAACACCAAAACAUAGGAACCAAAAACCCGAAUGGGGCGCUUAUAUAUUAUAUAUUUGUAUAUAUUCAUAUAUAUACACGCCAAACCGAGUAUCAAACAUGGAAAUAGACGCAAAGGGGCGAAUAAAAAAGAAUUUAUUACACAUUGACUGCCGAAAAAAAAAGCAGAAACAAAAAAAGGCCCCAAGUGGAAUCGUACGAAAAAGUGAAGAAGACAAGCAAACAUUGGAGGAGCUCACAAAAAAAGAUAAACAGACAUUUCUAUAUAAUGAAUAAUACCAUUAAAAAAUUCCCCACACACACCGAUACGUCCAGUUAAUGAACGCGAAAUGUUUGGUGGAGAUAGCAACGCCAGCGAAAAAGGGGGCAAAUGGACGAACAUCUGAUCCAAAGUGUAUCGAACUUUUAUUGAUUUAUUUUAUCAAACCUGCCUGCCCACUUUAUGGCUCUUAUCGACAUACUAACUCUUGAGUCACCAGCAGCAUUAUAACCAUCGAAGCCAGCGAAGAUUGCCAAACAGAAAGUUCAGCAUCCAAUUAACUGAUGUAGCAGCUGGACACAUGUCGUAUACGUAAUGUUUUGGGGCGCCUAGAAAACUUCAAAAACUGGCUCCAACUCGAGAUAGGGGCUGGCGAUAGAAGCAUACCAGGAAUUCACUGAUUUCCCUGAAUUCCCAUUUCGGAAUUAAUCAGAACUGCCAAUCAUAGCUUUCUAUGUAUGAUUUUCUCUAUAUCCUGACCCUCAGUACAUUUAAUAUAUUUAAGGAUUCAUCAUAAAAAAACAAACUUCAAACUGCAUUUAUUUUUGUAACUUCCAAGGACCCACUCAAAUGUAAUAAUGAUAUACUCCCUAAAGAUACCAGGCAACAAAUUCGAUUAAAUUAAAUUUUAGCGACACAUAAUGGAAAUUCUGGACAGGAGAGGAAAAUAACCAACUGACGCACGGAGUUACAUGUGUAUAUUUGUUAUUUAUCCAGUAGCUGCUGUGGCAGAAAAUCACGACCAUGUCCUUGAAUACGAAAUUGCGACCCAACUUGCAGAGGGAACGCCAAGGAUACGUAGGGAGCAGCAAGGAUAACAGCCCGAUCCCACGCUCUGUUUAACACCCUCAACAGCCACGACAAAAGCACAAAUUGUUUAUACGUACAAACAGCUGCGGGCAAGAUAAUAGCACCGGAAGUGCAGAGA